ACGGAGGGUGCAAGCGUUACUCGGAAUCACUGGGCGUAAAGAGCGUGUAGGCGGGUAUUUAAGUCAGAAGUGAAAUCCAAUAGCUUAAAUAUUGAACUGCUUUUGAAACUGUGUAACUAGAAUGUGGGAGAGGUUGAUAGAAUUUCUGGUGUAGGGGUUAAAUCCGUAGAGAUGAGAAGGAAUACCGAUUGCGAAGGCGAUCUACUGGACAAUAAUUGACGCUGAGACGCGAAAGUGUGGGUAGCAAACAG
rnacentral:rRNA from 1 species